rnacentral:tRNA from 1 species
GAGGGUAUAGCUCAAGUGGUAGAGCGCAUGCCUAGCAUGCACAAGGUCCUGGGUUCAAUCCCCGGUACCGCCU